rnacentral:rRNA from 1 species
AACGAACGCUGGCGGCAGGCCUAACACAUGCAAGUCGAACGCUCCAGCAAUGGAGAGUGGCAGACGGGUGAGUAACGCGUGGGAACCUUCCCAGUGGUACGGAAUAGCUCAGGGAAACUUGAGGUAAUACCGUAUACGCCCUUCGGGGGAAAGAUUUAUCGCCAUUGGAUGGGCCCGCGUCGGAUUAGCUAGUUGGUGAGGUAACGGCUCACCAAGGCGACGAUCCGUAGCUGGUCUGAGAGGAUGAUCAGCCACACUGGGACUGAGACACGGCCCAGACUCCUACGGGAGGCAGCAGUGGGGAAUAUUGGACAAUGGGCGCAAGCCUGAUCCAGCCAUGCCGCGUGAGUGACGUAGGCCUUAGGGUUGUAAAGCUCUUUUGGCGGGGAAGAUAAUGACGGUACCCGCAGAAUAAGCUCCGGCUAACUUCGUGCCAGCCGCCGCCGUAAGAC